CCGAAGCUUCUUUUGGAUCUGCCGUCCACCGGAUGCGACUGACGACAGACGCAAUCAAAGUGAAACCGAUAUCCUGAAAACGUGAAUUUACCUGGUGGGAGGCGAUUAUGGUCGAGUUCAAUGACUGCACCAUUGGAUAUCCAUCGCGAAGAUUAAACGACGGGCAGCCGGGCUCAGCACGGCAAUCUAUUUCGAGUCGUUUGCCAAGUGCCACUCCACGAGUUAACAGUGUCGCUUUGACUCCACCACCUGAGAACGUCAACAUUUAUUUCACGAAAGGUCAACCCCGUUUGAUGUUGCAUCCACAGGUGUCGAGGAUCGAACGUGUUUACGAGGAUGACCUUCAUUCAGUUUCCCACCUGACAUCUCUAAUUGGACCCCAUCAUCUAGUACCUCAUCUGAUUUAAGUCUCUGCAAAUGAUACCUGACAAUGCUCUGCGACAACAAAGCAGAAAUAACCAAGACAGCGAAAAUAUGCAUUUCCAUAUUCCCGGCUGUUUACGACGAUGUUCACAAUCUUGUCGUCAGCCAGCAGGACAUGUCGAGCCGCCAAAUCUCCGUGCAACAACUGGGCGAAAAUAAUUCUCAAGGAGAUCACCGAAGAAUUUUUAAGGUGGGAGUUGAUUCCUGGAUCAACACUUUGAUCCGGGCACUUCGCCGAAGAGUUGUUCACACCUCGUGUAAUAGUUCGCAAGGGAUAUCAAACGCAACGGUUUGAAGAGAAGGUAGUUAAGGUCUGGUCAGAGUGGAAGGAUUUUUUUGGAACAAGGUGGUUUUUUUUCUGACUCUUGAUGAAACCUCGCGCAGGUAAAACAGACCACAGCAAGUACCACUUAAACUCCAACCUUUUUCGCGCCAGUGAACGUAACUGAACGACAUCUAGGGUCCGACCAUUCAUUUAUUUUAACACGAUACUGAAAAUCCUUGCUCCUUGCCCUGCUCAAACGGUCGCGAAUCGAAGGGUGAGUCUUUAAUCAUUUGUGUUAUAACAUUUCCUUAUGACUUUCAACUAACUAUCGCAACUUUGACGUAAAAAAAAUUGACGGUGUGUCUUCUCUCGCCGCUCUGGAAAAUGUGAACUUUAUUUUCCUGAUCCUGAAUUCGUCCGUGAUAGUGUGCCUAUCAUCAUGUUGGAUCGAAGCUGGAAAACAUGCAACGUGGUGUUGCUUGCCGACUGGCUGACAUCGUUCGAAUCUCGACACUGGUAGAUGCCCGAAGCUUCUUUUGGCACUGCAGUCCACCGCAUGCGACUGACGACAGACGCAACGAAAGUGAAACCGAUAUCCUGAAAACGUUGAAAACAACGACUGCACCGUUGGAUAUCCAUCGCCAAGAGAAAACUACGGGCAGCCCGGCUCCCUCUCCCGGCUCAGCACGGCAAUCUUUUUGGAAUUGAUAGCCAAGUUCCACUCUACUAGUUAACUGUGUCGUUUGACCCCACCACCUGCGAAUGUCAACAUUUAUUUCACGCAAGUUAGUUCACCGAAAUCUUGGAAACGGAAGUCGGUGAGCCUAUCUGGCGGAUGCCUUGUGGAUCUCCACGUCGAAUGCGGAUUCAAGUCCAAAAAUUUCCCGAUUGACAGCGUCUUGAGGUUCAACCUGGUGGAGGAUCUCAUUCUCUGGAGACAAGGAUACAGUUCACACUUGGAAGAAACCUUAACGAACGUUUUGAAGCCGCAAGAUAUGAUUAAUAUCGACACCAUGAUCUCCGGCAUUUUGGUUUGUUUGUUUUCGAAAAGUUUCGCGAUCCUGGAACACUUUCGCAAUUUCGAAGAAACGUUUGAAAAAUCCGCCAUCAUUUCGACGAUUUUAAGAACUGUAGCGAGAAAGCACGGCCCCUAUUUGGACGUCAUUGCGUGUACGUCGCUCAUGAAAAACUGGUUUUAUCCUAAUAAAAGUUAGUUGUAAAACUGUUA